CUUGCUCCUCGAUUCAUCGGCGGACGGGUGAGUAAUGCCUAGGAAUCUGCCUAGUAGUGGGGGACACGUUUUCAAAGGAACCGCUAAUACCGCAUACGUCCUACGGGAGAAAGUGGGGGAUCUUCGGACCUCACGCUAUUAGAUGAGCCUAGGUCGGAUUAUCUAGUUGAGAGGGUAAAGGCCUACCAAGGCCACGAUCCGUAACUGGUCUGAGAGGAUGAUCAGUCACACUGGAACUGAGACACGGUCCAGACUCCUACGGGAGGCAGCAGUGGGGAAUAUUGGACAAUGGGCGAAAGCCUGAUCCAGCCAUGCCGCGUGUGUGAAGAAGGCCUUCGGGUCGUAAAGCACUUUAAGUUGGGAGGAAGGGCUCAUAGCGAAUACCUGUGAGUUUUGACGUUACCAACAGAACUAAGCACCGGCUAACUUCGUGCCAGCAGCCGCGGGUAUUACGAAGGGUGCAAGCGUUAAUCGGAAUUACUGGGCGUAAGCGCGCGUAGGUGGCUUGAUAAUUUGGAUGUGAAAUCCCCGGGCUCACCCUGGGAACUGCAUCCAAACCUGUCUGGCUUAAGUGCCGUUAGAGGGUAAUGGGAAAUUUCCAGUGUACGGGUGAAAUGCC
rnacentral:rRNA from 1 species